UAGGGAAUCUUCGGCAAUGGGGGGAACCCUGACCGAGCAACGCCGCGUGAGUGAAGAAGGUUUUCGGAUCGUAAAGCUCUGUUGUUAAGGAAGAACGAGCGUGAGAAUGGAAAGUUCAUGCUGUGACGGUACUUAACCAGAAAGGGCCGGCUAACUACGUGCCAUCAGCCGCGGUAAUACGUAGGUCCCGAGCGUUGUCCGGAUUUAUUGGGCGUAAAGCGAGCGCAGGCGGUUAGAAAAGUCUGAAGUGAAAGGCAGUAGCUCAACCAUUGUAGGCUUUGGAAACUGUUUGACUUGAGUGCAGAAGGGGAGAGUGGAAUUCCAUGUGUAGCGGUGAAAUGCGUAGAUAUAUGGAGGAACACCGGUGGCGAAAGCGGCUCGCUGGUCUGUAACUGACGCUGAGGCUCGAAAGCGUGGGGAGCGAACAGG
rnacentral:rRNA from 1 species